rnacentral:rRNA from 1 species
UUAGUGGCGGAAGGGUUAGUAAUACAUAGAUAAUCUGUCCUCAACUUGGGAAUAACGGUUGGAAACGACCGCUAAUACCGAAUGUAGUAUGUUUAGGCAUCUAAAACAUAUUAAAGAAGGGGAUCUUCGGACCUUUCGGUUAAGGGAGAGUCUAUGGGAUAUCAGCUUGUUGGUGGGGUAAUGGCCUACCAAGGCUUUGACGUCUAGGCGGAUUGAGAGAUUGACCGCCAACACUGGGACUGAGACACUGCCCAGACUUCUACGGAAGGCUGCAGUCGAGAAUCUUUCGCAAUGGACGAAAGUCUGACGAAGCGACGCCGCGUGUGUGAUGAAGGCUCUAGGGUUGUAAAGCACUUUCGCUUGGGAAUAAGAGAGA